CGUUGUACACACCGCCCGUCACACCAUGGGAGCGGGUUCUGCCAGAAGUAGUUAGCCUAACCGCAAGGAAGGCGAUUACCACGGCAGGGUUCGUGACUGGGGUG
rnacentral:rRNA from 1 species